UCACUACGGAAUAGUCCCGGGAAACUGGGUUUAAUACCGUAUACGCCCUUCGGGGGAAAGAAUUUCGGUGAGGGAUCGGCCCGCGUUAGAUUAGUUAGUUGGUGGGGUAAUGGCCUACCAAGACUACGAUCUAUAGCUGGUUUGAGAGGAUGAUCAGCAACACUGGGACUGAGACACGGCCCAGACUCCUACGGGAGGCAGCAGUGGGGAAUCUUAGACAAUGGGGGCAACCCUGAUCUAGCGAUGCCGCGUGAGUGAUGAAGGCCUUAGGGUCGUAAAGCUCUUUCGCCUGUGAUGAUAAUGACAGUAGCAGGUAAAGAAACCCCGGCUAACUCCGUGCCAGCAGCCGCGGUAAUACGGAGGGGGUUAGCGUUGUUCGGAAUUACUGGGCGUAAAGCGCACGUAGGCGGAUUAGUCAGUCAGAGGUGAAAUCCCAGGGCUCAACCCUGGAACUGCCUUUGAUACUGCUAGUCUUGAGUUCGAGAGAGGUAAGUGGAAUUCCGAGUGUAGAGGUGAAAUUCGUAGAUAUUCGGAGGAACACCAGUGGCGAAGGCGGCUUACUGGCUCGAUACUGACGCUGAGGUGCGAAAGUGUGGGGA
rnacentral:rRNA from 1 species